UAGAUCAAAAGUUGAUUUUCGGAGCAUCCAUGGUGUACUGAGUGCAGAGUAUAUGAAUUGCCUUUUGCUUGUUGUCUACUAACAGUCAAUUAUAAUCCAAUAGCCAAGAGACACGAAUAGCAGUGUGUGUUCACACAGGGCUGCAAUGCGUGAUGGUGUUGGCCAUUCAGGGCCUGAACCAAAGGACUUCAUACUAAAGCAGUUCCCUCGAUCGUGCAAGAAUGUAAUAAUUCAUUACUAAGGAUCAAGUUAUAGUUAUUGAAAACUCGUGACUCGCUACUGCUGGGAGAUGCACCUCCACACAUUCUAGGGCAAAGAGAUUUGGGCGUGACAAGAUGAAGCAGUUCAGGUCCAUGAUUUCUAUUAAACUUUUGCAAGGAACUCGAUUAAUAUGUUCUUAUGGGUGAUACGUAUGAAGGAAAAGAACCAGAGCAGCGCUAGCUUGGAUAGAAGUUUCAGUGAC